rnacentral:rRNA from 1 species
UACGGAGGGUGCGAGCGUUGUCCGGAAUCACUGGGCGUAAAGGGCGCGUAGGCGGCCUGAUAAGUAGGGGGUGAAAUCCUGCGGCUUAACCGCAGGGCUGCCUUCUAAACUGUCAGGCUAGAGCACGGUAGAGGCAGAUGGAAUUCCCGGUGUAGCGGUGGAAUGCGUAGAGAUCGGGAAGAACAUCAGUGGCGAAGGCGGUCUGCUGGGCCGUAACUGACGCUGAGGAGCGAAAGCGUGGGGAGCGAACAGG